CACCGCGGUUAUACGAGAGGCUCAAGUUGAUAGACAGCGGCGUAAAGAGUGGUUAGGGAAAACACAAACUAAAGUCGAACGCUUCCAUAGCUGUUAUACGCACCCGAAAAUAUGAAGCCCAACUACGAAAGUAACUUUAAAAUACCUGAAUCCACGAAAGCUAGGGAA
rnacentral:rRNA from 1 species